rnacentral:lncRNA from 1 species
GAAGGAGGACUGGGACCUCCGUACAGGUCAGGAAUUGACACAGACCACACCAGGAUUUGAGAAAAAGCAAAGUCUGAUCUUUAUUGAAAGAACAGAGAAAAAACAAAACGUGAGGGUCCCCCUGCUCACGUAAUAAAAUGGAGUGAGACCCCAAACAGAAGAGCUGCCUUGACUCUUAGACCUUUUGGUUUCCAUACAGAUCAAUAACUGAGAUGGCAGGAAGUGACAUGAAUGGCGUGAAGAGGGGAUUAACAUAAGGUAAGAAGGGUGCUGUAAGACCUUUGGGAGGUGUCAAUAUUGCUGGCGGGCUGGGAUAAUAUGUGUUGAGCUUCCUCUCAUUUAUUCUGGAUCUGCUUAAUGGCUUUUCCUUUAUCUACAGGAAAAAUCUCCGUAGUUGCUGAUAAUCAGCAUGCAGAUCGUGAGGCUGGAUGUUCGGGAAAUGGCUUAAAUGUUAAUGUGAGAUUCUGCUCUGCAUUCCUACCAACUUGGGUGUGAUAGUCUGAUGUUUGCAUACUUAUUGGAAAAUAAAACUACGAGCUGGUAUUUGUGUGUAUUCAUGGCAUUAUUUGCAGACCCAGUAGAUGGCAGUGUGGUGGAGAGUGUUUUGGCAGCUACAGUUUGGAUACAUUCAGAAAAAUACAGCCUAGUGCAGCAUUACAUUUCUGUAAAGGUACAGUGGUACCUCGGGUUACAUAUGCGUCAGGUUACAGACUCCGCUAACCCAGAAAUAUUACCUCGGGUUAGGAACUUUGCUUCAGGAUCAGAACAGAAAUCGUGCUCCGGCGAUGCGGCAGCAGCAGGAGUCCCCAUUAGCUAAAGUGGUGCUUCAGGUUAAGAACAGUUUCAGGUUAAGAACGGAUCUCCGGAACGAAUUAAGUACUUAACCUGAGGUACCACUGUACAUUCAUGGAAAAAGAGAUACAUUUCAGAAAGGAUAUAUUCAGAUACAUUCUUAUACAUUUCAGUGAUAGCAAAAGGUAAAAAAGACACAGCAUAAUGAUACAUUCAAUGAUACAUGAAAAGGACGCAGCAUACAUUCUGAUACAUUUCAGUGUUGGCAAAAGAAGGUAAAAAGACACAGCAAAAUGAUUUAUUCUCAAACGAUGCAUUCUCCAAGGCACAGUUUAUUUUCUUGUGGGGCUUUUAAGGUAGAACACUAUAAUUCUGAUAUUGGUAGGGUCAUUUUCCUUUAUUCCCCUCUCUUACGACAGCUGACACCUGCCUCUUUCUUAUUGGCUGCUGCUUGCUAUAUAAGGCCUACCUUUGAGAUGGUUUUGAGGCAUUGUUUUAUCUAGAUGUGUGCUAAGGGUGGCCAAGUGGCCCUCCUUUAUCUGACACAAAGUGUCCCCAAUAAGUGAAGCUUUGCUGUGGGGAGUGUGUGUGUGUGUGUGUGUGUGUGUGUGUGUGUAAAAGCAGUGUUUAAUUCUUUAUCUGCCAGAUUCCCCCUUGAACCUGUGCCCCAACACCUCCCUGCUUUUACCACUGCCAGUGCUUCAGGUACAUGUUAACAUCACCUUCCCAGGUUAUAACAAAUAGUUAGACUUCAUACGACAAACAACAUGUAGUUCAGGAGCUUACUUCAUUUUUCGUUUCCAUCUCCAAAGAAUGGAUUCUCUCUUAAAAAAACCCUCUUUUGUUUUGUUUUGUUGGUGGCCUAUAGUUUCCCUCAUAGGUGGGAGGAUGGGAAAAAUUUCUUCUGCAGCUUUAAAGGCAAGAAGGAAAUUUUUAAAUCUGCACAGGUGUGUGUGUGUGUGUGUGUGUGUGUGUGUGUGUGUGUGUGUAACAUAAUAGGAGGCAGACGGAGCUGGAAGAAAAUGCCUGUAGAGAGAACGCCAUUGGCUGCCAAGGGAACAAGGCAAGAAGUGAGCUUUGUUUGGAGGAUAAAAAAACAGAAACAUGAUCCAAGGAGGCCAGCGUCUGACAAGAAUCAUCCUGUAUGAGGCAUCUGAAAAUCCUGACAGGUUCCAAAAUGCGUUCCUUCCAUCCUGGAGUUACCUGAUGUGUGUUACAAGGAAGGUCAUGACAAGGAUCAGCAGCUACUACUGGCAGCCCAGGGUGCCAAUUUGACUUCUGGGGGCUUCCUAUCCAGCGCUUGAAUGUUAAGGCUCAGCACCAGCAGUUGGCUCAGAAGGGCUCCUAGCCAGCCCAGUCCUGCUGUAAUGCCGCUCCUCACCAGCUCCCCAGAGGCUACUGCAGUGGUGGGUGGAAGGUCCUCAGUUCAGCUAACAUCCUUAGGGGCCGCCCGCCAUCUUUAGUUAUCCAAAAUGGACAGGCCUCAACCCAAACCUCAAAAAUGGCACUGAGGCGAGGGCCCAGUUGCUCUUCUAUCGAAUCCCCACGAUGGGGUGAGAUCCCGUUGCUCGGUCCCUGCUCC